AGUGAACGCUGGCGGCAGGCCUAACACAUGCAAGUCGAACGGAAGCACCGUGCUUGCUUGCUGUUACGGGGGGGGAGUGGGGGGAGGAACAGGAGAAUAUCCGGAUCUAGUUUUUCGUAGGGCUUCACGAAGGGGAACUUACGACAGUAUAGCAGACGACGUACGAGUGAGAGCAGUGGAACUUCUGGCCUUGCGCGAUUGAAUGCGCCGAUGUCGAGUUAGCUAGUUGGCGGGGUAAAGGCCCACCAAGGCGACGAUCGGUAGCUGGUCUGAGAGGAUGAUCAGCCACACUGGAACUGAGACACGGUCCAGACUCCUACGGGAGGCAGCAGUGGGGAAUAUUGGACAAUGGGCGCAAGCCUGGUCCAGCCAUACCGCGUGUGUGAAGAAGGCCUUCGGGUUGUAAAGCCCUUUUGUUGGGAAAGAAAAGCAGUAGGUUAAUACCCCGCUGUUCUGACGGUACCCAGAGAAGAAGCACCGGCUAACUUCGUG
rnacentral:rRNA from 1 species